rnacentral:rRNA from 1 species
UGGGGAAUAUUGGACAAUGGGCGCAAGCCUGAUCCAGCCAUGCCGCGUGAGUGAUGAAGGCUCUAGGGUUGUAAAGCUCUUUCACCGGUGAAGAUAAUGACGGUAACCGGAGAAGAAGCUCCGGCUAACUUCGUGCCAGCAGCCGCGGUAAUACGAAGGGGGCUAGCGUUGUUCGGAUUUACUGGGCGUAAAGCGCACGUAGGCGGACUUUUAAGUCAGGGGUGAAAUCCCGGGGCUCAACCCCGGAACUGCCUUUGAUACUGGAAGUCUUGAGUAUGGUAGAGGUGCGUGGAAUUCCGGGUGUAGAGGUGAAAUUCGUAGAUAUUCGGAGGAACACCAGUGGCGAAGGCGGCUCACUGGACCAUUACUGACGCUGAGGUGCGAAAGCGUGGGGAGCAAACAGG